rnacentral:rRNA from 1 species
UACAGAGGGGGCAAGCGUUGUUCGGAAUUACUGGGCGUAAAGGGCGCGUAGGCGGCCUGCUAAGUCGAACGUGAAAUCCCCGGGCUCAACCCGGGAACUGCGUCCGAUACUGGCAGGCUUGAAUCCGGGAGAGGGAUGCGGAAUUCCAGGUGUAGCGGUGAAAUGCGUAGAUAUCUGGAGGAACACCGGGGGCGAAGGCGGCAUCCUGGACCGGCAUUGACGCUGAGGCGCGAAAGCCAGGGGAGCAAACGGG